rnacentral:tRNA from 1 species
GGAAGUGUGGUCUAGUGGGUAAAACACUGGACUUGUAAUCAGAAAAUGUGGGUUCUAGGCCCAGCCCUGCCA